rnacentral:miRNA from 1 species
AAAGUGCUUGCAUGUUUUAGUGA